ensembl:lncRNA
UUCCACGUCGCCCAGCCUCCGGUCCACCGUCCGGUCCCUCCUCCGCGGAAAGCUCCUUCCACUGGGAAACACCUACUGCCCGCCCCUUGCUGGUCCUGCCUGCCCCGAACCCGCGCCGCAGGCAACAGCGGACCACAGGGGAGCCUUUGGGAUCGAUCAAAGGUGAAGAAGGUGAGGUGAAGCUUUCUCACCUGCUUGAGGCCGGAUUGAAUUCUUCUAGGACAGCUCUGUCUGCUUAACCCCCACCCUAGGGGAGGGAGAAGGCCUUAAGGACAACACAGGAGAAAAAAGAUCUUUGUCAACUGGACUCUCAUGGAGACUUGGAAGAUGUACAGCUCUUAUCUAGACAUAAAGAACAAAUGUCUGCGUCUAACUGACCAGCCAUCUGGCCGUUUUUCAUCCUCCAAAAUAUUUAUGUAUCGAUUGAUUGCAUUGCAAUAGUUUUCUUUUUUCGCUUGGUUUUGCUUUUUUAAAAAUUUGUAAAUGAAAAGAAUAUACAACGUGGAAGAGCAGAUGAAAGGAUAAUGAAGUGAAUGCUUGACCAUCUUGUAGGUCAAGAAUAGGUCGUUGUAACACCUUAGAUGCCGCAAUGGGUUAAGGGGGCUCAUUCCUCCUCCUUCCCUGAAACAGGACAUCUGUCAAGGCCCUUGUUGUGAUCAGACCCUAGCUUUUCUUUAUAGUUGUAUCACAUCUGCAUGUGUCCAAAAAUAUGUGUUAAUUUUGUUUAUUUUUUUAAUGUUCAUACUAAUGAAUGUUGUCCUGUACAUAUUCUUAAAUUUUUGAGACUUUUUGUUGCAUCCUUCAUUUUCAUUGUUUAUGACUUAAAAUUAUAUUUUAAUUCUUCUAUUCUAAUGCUCACAGGCAUUUAGGUUAUCUCUAGUUGGGGGGGGGCUGCACAGCUAUGUGACAAAUUACUGCUAACACUUAGCAACUCAAAGCCAAAAGAACCCAAAGCAAACAAAACAAAACUCCUUUUCUUGCUGUUAUCUCAGUUUCUGCAGAUCAGGAAUGUUGGGGUGGUGAGGUCUCUGAGUCCAGAUCUGUCACAGGCCCCUAGUCAGGGGGUCAAGGUGCUGGCUGGGGCCCAAGUGCUUUCCAGGGUAGAAGUGAGUCUCAAGACUUUGACAAGGCUCCUGGCCUCAAUGACUUAGGAUGGAUGGACCAGUUCUUUGUCACUUGGCCCUCUGUAUAAAGUUGGCCACAACAUGGCAGCUUCCUUCCCCCAAAGUACAGGCUCCCAGACAGAAAUAGAAAUCACAGAUUCUUUUUGUUACCUAAUCUCAAAAGUGACAGUCCACCAUCUUUGCCAUUUUCUACAUGGGAAGUGAAGCACUAGGUCCAGCCCACACCUGAGGGGAAAGGAUUUCCCAAGGGCAUGAAUACCUGGAAGUUGGGACUUCUAGGGCCCCUUUUAAAUGCUGCCUACCACCAGUGAUAUUUCAGGAUGUGCUAUUCUCUAACAUCCUUGUACACCCGUGCAGGAAUUUCCCUGGAGGAUACAUCUUGGUUUAAAAUUGCUGCAUUAUACAAUUUACACAUAUUCAACUUCAUCAGUUCAUUUCCCAGCUAAUUCCAAAAUGUGGAACUAGUUUGCACUUCCUCCAACAAGGAAUGAGCAUUCUUGCUGGUCCACAUACUUGUCACAAGUUAGUUUUACCAAAUUUCAUUUUUACUCCAUCUGAGAGGUAUAGAAUAGCAUUCCACUAGUAUAUAUGUAAUAACUUUUAUAUGUAGAUGUAGACAUAGAUACAAAUAUAUUUGCAUCUAACUGUGUGAAUUGAUACUGGCCUGUAAUUAUAAUUUUCUGCACUAUCUUUAGCUGAUGUUGAUAUCAUCAUAAAUUAGUAUGGGUAAUAUUCUUUGGUGGUUUAUGGAAAAAUUCUUAACAAGAUUGGAAUAAACUGGUCUUUGAAUAUUUUCUUAAAUCAUCUAGAAAAUCCUCUGGGUUUAGCAUUUGGGAGAUUUUAAACUUGGUUCAAUUACUUUAAUGAUUAUAGAACUACUUAGAUUUUCAUUUGGGUUCAUUUUUCAUAAAUGUAUAUAUACGUGUAUUCAGUAUACACAGGGUCAAACUUAGGACCUUGUGCACAAAAGGUAAGCACUAAUACUUAGCUACAACUCCAGCCCUUGUUGACUUUAAAUUUUUCUGAAUCUUUGCCUUAAAUACACAUAUAGUAAAUUUAUCUUAUUUUUUUAAACUGGAU